CUGAGAAGUUGAAUAUAUGUUUAGACAAGGUCAUCCUGUCUUAGUUGGAACAACUAGCGUAGAAAAUUCAGAACUUUUGUCUGGUCUGCUUAGGGAAUGGAAUAUUCCUCAUAAUGUUCUAAAUGCUAGACCCAAGUAUGCAGCAAAAGAAGCUGAAAUUGUUGCUCAAGCAGGACGGAAAUCCAAAAU